GACGAACGCUGGCGGCGUGCUUAACACAUGCAAGUCGAACGGUGAAGCGCCUUCCUUUUUGGUGGGUGUGGAUGAGUGGCGAACGGGUGAGUAACACGUGAGUAACCUGCCCCCUUCUUCUGGAUAACCGCAUGAAAGUGUGGCUAAUACGGGAUAUUCUGGGUCUGUCGCAUGAUGGGUCUGGGAAAGAUAUUGAUUCGGUGGGGGAUGGGCUCGCGGCCUAUCAGCUUGUUGGUGGGGUGAUGGCCUACCAAGGCGGUGACGGGUAGCCGGCCUGAGAGGGUGGACGGUCACACUGGGACUGAGACACGGCCCAGACUCCUACGGGAGGCAGCAGUGGGGAAUAUUGCACAAUGGGCGCAAGCCUGAUGCAGCGACGCCGCGUGAGGGAUGGAGGCCUUCGGGUUGUGAACCUCUUUCGCCAGUGAAGCAGGCCUGCCUCGUUUGUGGGUGGGUUGACGGUAGCUGGAUAAGAAGCGCCGGCUAACUACGUG
rnacentral:rRNA from 1 species